rnacentral:rRNA from 1 species
CCUACGGGUGGCAGCAGUGAGGAAUAUUGGUCAAUGUGCGGAAGCCUGAACCAGCCAAGUAGCGUGCAGGAUGACGGCCCUACGGGUUGUCAACUGCUUUUAUACGGGAAUAACGCGCCUUACGUGUAGGGCUUUGCAUGUACCGUAUGAAUAAGGACCGGCUAAUUCAGUGCCAGCAGCCGCGGUAAUACGGAAGGGCUGGGCGUUAUCCGGAUUUAUUGGGUUGAAAGGGAGCGUAGGCGGCAUGUCAAGCGUGCUGUGAAAUGUCCGGGCUCAACCCGGGCCUUGCAGCGAGAACUGGCGGGCUUGAGUCCGCGGAAAGCAGGCGGAAUUCGUCGUGUAGCGGUGAAAUGCUUAGAUAUGACGAAGAACCCCGAUUGCGAAGGCAGCUUGCUGCAGCGGAACUGACGCUGAUGCUCGAAAGCGCGGGUAUCGAACAGGAUUAGAUACCCUUGUAGUC